GACGAACGCUGGCGGCGUGCCUAAUACAUGCCAGUAGGACGCAGUUGCGAACGGGUGAGUAACGCGUAGGUAACUACCUAUUAGAGGGGGAUAACUAUUGGAAACGAUAGCUAAUACCGCAUACUAGUAGAUGGACCUGCGUUGUAUUAGGUAGUAGGUAGGGUAAUGGCCUACCUAGGCAACGAUACAUAGCCGACCUGGGUGGGUGGUCGGACACACGGGGACUGAGCAACGGCCCAGACUUCUACGGGGGGCAGCAGUAGGGAAUCUUCGGCAAUGGGGGGAACCCUGACCCAGCAACGCCGCGUGAGGGAAGAAGGUUUUCGGUUCGUAAAGCGCUGUUGUUAAGGAAGCGGUACUUACCCAGAAAGGGACGGCUAACUACGUGCCAGCAGCCGCGGUAAUUC
rnacentral:rRNA from 1 species